UGCAAAGUUCUCAUCAAUAGAAACGAAUUAAGUUCAAACAGCAGGUAAUUGCUAUAAAUUGUUGAAGAGUUCCUUCGACUAUCUUUCUUCUCCAUCAUCAGAUCGACUCCAGACCUUUAUUAAAUAGUAGUGCUUUAUAGUACUUAAUGAAAACAUGAUUAAAUUUACUAGUCACCAGUACGAUUUUUGAAAGUUUCCCUCGAUUUUUCUGGGAUCCCAUCAUCAGAUCCUGGUUUCCUUAUCAUGGUACCAAACUAUGAAUAUCUCCUUUCCAACAAAAAAAGAAUUAUCAAAAUCGGUUCAUAAAGAAGAAGUUAUCUCCGAACAUACAUA
rnacentral:misc_RNA from 1 species